CUCUGAGUGAUUUCCGUUAAGGAGAUCUUUUGGCACCUCUAAAAAUGGUGCAGAAUAAGGGGUGGGCAAGUCUGGUGUCAGCCGCCGCGGUAAUACCAGCACCCCGAGUGGUCGGGACGUUUAUUGGGCCUAAAGCAUCCGUAGCCGGUUCUACNAGUCUUCCGUUAAAUCCACCUGCUUAACAGAUGGGCUGCGGAAGAUACUAUAGAGCUAGGAGGCGGGAGAGGCAAGCGGUACUCGAUGGGUAGGGGUAAAAUCCGUUGAUCCAUUGAAGACCACCAGUGGCGAAGGCGGCUUGCCAGAACGCGCUCGACGGUGAGGGAUGAAAGCUGGGGGAGCAAACCGGAUUAGAUACCCGGGUAGUCCCAGCUGUAAACGAUGCAGACUCGGUGAUGAGUUGGCUUAUGCACUCAGUGCCGCAGGGAAGCCGUUAAGUUUGCCGCCUGGGGAGUACGGUCGCAAGACUGAAACUUAAAGGAAUUGGCGGGGGGAGCACA
rnacentral:rRNA from 1 species